UGGGGAAUAUUGCACAAUGGAGGGAACUCUGAUGCAGCGACGCCGCGUGAACGAAGAAGGCUUUCGAGUCGUAAAGUUCUUUUAUAUGGGAAGAUAAUGACGGUACCAUAAGAAAAAGCCCCGGCUAACUACGUGCCAGCAGCCGCGGUAAUACGUAGGGGGCUAGCGUUGUCCGGAAUCACUGGGCGUAAAGGGUUCGCAGGCGGAAAUGCAAGUCAGGUGUAAAAGGCAGUAGCUUAACUACUGUAAGCAUUUGAAACUGCAUAUCUUGAGAAGAGUAGAGGUAAGUGGAAUUUUUAGUGUAGCGGUGAAAUGCGUAGAUAUUAAAAAGAAUACCGGUGGCGAAGGCGACUUACUGGGAUCAUUCUGACGCAGAGGAACGAAAGCGUGGGUAGCAAACAGG
rnacentral:rRNA from 1 species